UUUUUUAUUUUUUUAUUUUUGUGGGUUUUAUCGAUAUUUCCCUUUUCCCUCUUUGGGAAUAAAUAAAGUUCGGUGGCGACUCUGUUUUAUUUAUAUUUCGAGCGUUCCCUACGCUUGGGUAUUUUUCGCGCCGCAACAGCUGGCGACUCUGCUGGGGACACCUUUUUCUCCUAUGCGAGUCCACCCUAAUUUAGUUUGUUUUGUGUUUGAGUUUUUGCUUUUAUCUGUUUGUUUG
rnacentral:lncRNA from 1 species